UUAAAUUCAACCCAUGCUAAAUUGGGCUUAUCUUGUUCCAAUUUCAAGAACUAGAUUUGACCAUCUCGUUCAAGAUGGAAGGAGGCUCUGCUGACCAUAUCAUCCUUUGUAGUUUAUGGCAUCAGAAAAACAAAUGCUCGCGCUUGCUAAGCCACUCAAUGUAGAACACUUUGCCAUUGUAGCAAGGAAAAUCCAAUUUUG
rnacentral:misc_RNA from 1 species